rnacentral:rRNA from 1 species
UUCCGGUUGAUCCCGCCGGAGGUUACUGCUAUCGGUGUUCGACUAAGCCAUGCGAGUCAAAUGUUCUUCGUGAACAUGGCGGACUGCUCAGUAACACGUGGAUAACCUGCCCUUAGGUUCGGCAUAACUCCGGGAAACUGGAGAUAAUUCCGAAUAGGUCAAAUAUGCUGGAAUGCUUUUUGGCCAAAAGACCUCGGUUGCCUAAGGAUGGAUCUGCGGUCUAUCAGGUUGUAGUAGGUGUAACGUACCUACUAGCCUACGACGGAUAUGGGUUGUGAGAGCAAGAGCCCAGAGAUGGAUUCUGAGACAUGAAUCCAGGCCCUACGGGGCGCAGCAGGCGCGAAAACUUUACAAUGCGGGAAACCGCGAUAAGGGGACACCGAGUGCCAGCAUUUAUGUUGGCUGUCCACAUGUGUAAACGGCAUGUGUUAGCAAGGGCCGGGCAAGACCGGUGCCAGCCGCCGCGGUAACACCGGCGGCCCGAGUGGUAAUCACUUUUAUUGGGUCUAAAGGGUCCGUAGCCGGUUUGAUCAGUUCUUCGGGAAAUCUGACAGCUCAACUGUUAGGCUUCCGGGGAAUACUGUCAGACUUGGGACCGGGAGAGGUAAGAGGUACUACAGGGGUAGGAGUGAAAUCUUUGUAUCCCUGUGG